ensembl:lncRNA
CCACCCCCCCCCGAACCAGCUGAAUCGAUCAUUUAAUGGAACGUCAAGGCCACACAGAUUAUUUGUCAGCGUUUUGUCAUGCAUGCUCCCGUAUCCAGAUAGGUCAAUACAUUGACCUUCCCUAAGAACUGUGUAAACAACAGACCGGACUGAAUGCCAUCAUUAACCUCUAUCGUGGCAUUAAACAGUAGACUAAUGAGGGCAGACUGCCUGCGAGGGCUUCCAUUGCUCUACUGUGGCUUGAAGUGAUUAGCCAACUGUGGGCCAACGCUGGUGUGUUUGUUUUACUAAUAACAUCAAGAACAUUCCAAAAAUCAUGUUUUUACAGUUCCUACUUUUUCGUUUUUGUUUUGAAUUUUAAAUGGUUUAUUCAGGGUUUGCAAAGCUCUAUAUUUGGGGCUGAUGCUUUUCUUAUUGUAAUAAUGCAUUUUAUUUGUAUAAUGCUGAAUUUUUUUAUGACCUAUCUCAAAUGAACCCCAAGUUCUUUUUUUCUUCUUUUUUUUCAAUACUAUCGUUGCUAUAUAUCAUCUAGUUGGAUGUAGAAAUGAUCCUUCGUGGUUAUUCCUCUGCAUGGCUCCUGUCUCUGACAUUUGUUUUUCACAUGUAUGUUUCAAAUUGCAUCGUUCUGUGCAGGAGAUUUUUAAUGAAAUAAUAAUGAUUACAUUGUCAAUAAGUGAAUACGUUUGCAUUUCCCUAGUUAUGCUUCAGUUCAGCUAUUCAUCAACACCAAAGAAUAAAUAUACCUACAUGCUGGCUUAUAUUAACCACUACACAUGACACAGUCUAAAGUAAAUCCUUCUCAUGGAGCGACCCGAGUGUCCUAAAAAAACAAAGUGGAAACAGGCCAGCUGGAGCUUACUGUAGAGCACAAUGGCUGCUGUGAGGGCUUGGAGGUUGCAGUAUUGUCCCCUGAUUACUGCAGGCAUGAACUCAACUGGAUGCACAAGAAAAAGAGAAGGGGGGUCAGGGGGGGCAGAAAACAAAACAAAAAUGUGGCUACAUCGUAGUCCGAGCAUCAGCCUGGCCAGUGUGAGAGAGCAUUGACUCUCUCAAUGGAUGUCAGUCACUGCUCAGCUAAUGGCAGAUGACAUGGAACAUAAUGCACCAACUAGAUCCCUGGCCGGCACGAGUAAUGGCUCAUAAAUUCAUCUGCCCUGCAGCAUGGAUCUGUCAAAACCCUGCAGUGCAUUGUGGGUUAGUGUUUUUCAUCCACCUCCCCUCACCCAGCAGUCACUGAUGUGUGCCAAUCAGCUUGUGUGUGUGUGUUUGUGUGUGUGUGUGUGUAUGAAUGUGCAUGCCGUCCCCUCCCUCCCUCCCUCUCGCUCUCUCACUGCUGCCACUCUCCAUGCGGCCAGCCAUACUAAAUACCAUUUUCUUUUUAAUUAAUCACGCCGGUUCUAUGGAGCAGCUUUGGUCAGGGCUGAAGCUCCAAUCAAUGGCACAGGGUCAAAAGCUCAGGGACUGUCAAUAUUUUCCAGAGUGCAAAGAAAAAAAAGAAGAAAGUCCUGGAGGCUUAGCCGGCCCCAAAUAGCGCGCCCCGAGGACGCAGGCGGCCCCAAAAAGCUGUGGUUUUUAGUCUUUUGUCCGUGCUACCCGGGUGUAGAGGAGGAUCGGGGCUGUGACCCACAGAGCCGGGUCAGGUCUGCCUGUGGCGUGCCAUGCAGCCUGCUCCCAUGACACACUUCACUUGCCCCACAAAGGACACGACGCAGGACUCCCUAAAACGCAGUUAGUCACUCUCCCCCCUUCGAUGUGGGAUGAUAUUCAUAGUUGGACAUUCUGAUCUCGGUGAAUACUUAUAAUGCAACCACAUUUCAACAUGAUACAAUGCAGCCUUGAACCUCCCACAUCCCACCACACCCAUCUGUGAGUUACAAAAUAUAUUGGAAAGGCAGUGGCCCACCUCACAGAAUGGUGUUUCUAAAUGUUAGUAUGUCCAUCGUGGCAGAAUGGCCCACAGACCAGUGGUUGGGUACCACGGAUCUAUCACAAAAAUAAGGCUGGUGCAAACAAACAAACAAACUUCACAUUCCGGGUAAUCAUGCUUGGCCGCCAUGAUGAUAGAUAGCGCCAAAACACGGACGGUGUAAUAAUCCAGUAAUAGCAGUCAAUUUGGAGUAAAAUUAUGAAAAGGAGAAGGAAACCGAAGACACUGUGGAGACCAGAAGAAAAUGUUCUAAAUUCUAAAUGGCAAAUUUUUGCACGUAUGCCCACAGCCUUCAAAGGCUGAAUGAGCAAUUCAAUAAAAAAAUUGCUAAAUUAAGAAUGAUUAAUGAAGCUUCUCUUUUACAGUAACAAAGCCAAAAUUUAAAUAUAAUUAAUUUAUAUUACAUUCAACCAUAAUUAGUAUGGUUUAGGAAGACUACAACGCUACCUUUGGUUUGGAAAAAAUCCUGAUUCAUAAAAAGGCAAAAACAACGACUGAGCAGCGUGGUGAGUGGAGAGGAUCGAGGGUUCAAUCCCCAGCUCCGCUAACUCACAUGACCUUGGUGUGUCCUUGGGCAAGACCCAACCCUGACGUGGCUGUGAGUAUGGUGUGACCUGACCCGACGAGACCGCAUGCCCUCUUCAGAGCCAAACAUUCCCCAAUAUCAAAUGGGCAAGGAUUAUUGAGAACUAUUUUUUACGCUUUGAAAGACAUGGAGAUGGCCUGCGACUGAGUGGGCAUGCAAACUCAUUCCACUGCUCUCUGGGAAGGCAUUGGAGGCCUAUACAGCAGUGGAUGAGGAACAAGCCCACUCCUACACAGGUCUGAAAGCAGCAUUGCUUAUCAAAUGUGACAUUUCCCCUGACACAUACUGGCAGCAGUUUUGUUCCAGCUCAAUUCCAAUAGCAGAAACCCCCACUGAUACCUGCCAUCGCUUCAAACGGCUCUACUGUCUUUGGAUUCGACCCGAAUGACAAUCCAAUGAGGAGAUCGCUUCUUCACAUCCUUCCUCCACAGGUGGGAACCUGGGUUGAGGAACAUGAGCCAAUUGAAGGAUUGACAGCUGUCAGGUUGGCCCUCCAGUAUCGUGCUCGCAGAGGAGGUCCCAUUUUACAGCAGUGGACGUCAACCUACAUUCCAGCCUCCGCACACCAGAAUCGUAGCAGGGAGAGGCAGCCAGGAACGUCGAGGUACCGCAACUGCUACUGCACAAAACGCCACUGGUAAGAACUUUAGAGGUAAGGUAAGAAUCCAGGCCACAAAGUGAGGCCACAAAGCUUCUGUAUCUUCUCUUCGUAAAGCGGUCACAGGUUCCUGGUAUGCACCCAGGGAUGAGGUAGACAAUUAACACUAAGUGGACAGCAGGUGACUGCACUAUUAUAUACUGCCAGCUUCACUUCCCUAGCAAAGAAAUGUCUCAUACCGGUUGGUAACCUGGAGUUUAAUAACAUAACGGACAUUAUCUGUCUACAUUCAGAUAGCCAUGCCUACCUUAAAGCGUAAGUGACUGUGGUUAUUGAUGAUCAAUCGUACCUGUUGGGGUGGUAUAUCUGUACUUUUGAUUAUGUACCUAGCUCGUGCAGUCCCCUCGGCUGGCAACACUUACACGCGGGUUAGUUCACAGGUAGUUCCGUUUUUUUAUUGGCCUUGCAGGCAUCCAAACCUAUUGCGCUACAUGGCCCACAUGUCAAGAAACCUGUGCUGCUCUUUGAUCGAGCCCUGUUGAUGCCACUCCCCAUCAUCUCCACAUCGUUACAGAGGAUUGCCAUACGUAUUAUUGGUCCUUUGGUGAAGAGUAGCCAGGGCCAACCGUACAUCUUGGUCACUGGACGUCCAGGUAAAACAACAGUCAUGAAACAUGUGAUUUGGCUGAAGGAUGGGCAACCAAAGUGCCAACAACCCUACGAACAAACUGCGAGAAAAUGUUGGGGUUGGGGUUGGUGGAGUCAUCAAUUUCCGAGUGGUGUCCAGCUGUCAUCAUGUUUGAGAAAGAUGCUUCCGUACACAUCUGCAUUGACACCUGGAAGUCAUUUGAGACCAGGCAAUACCAACUUGGUAGCAGACUACCUCUCCUGGUUGCCUGUACAUCGCCAACCUGAGAUCCCUGUUGUUGUCUUGUAAGGAAAUCAGGUUUAAAUUAAUUAUGGAUAUUAUAAACAAGCAAACUACAAUUAAUGGCAAAUGUAUUAACCUUUUAUUUGAAUCAAGUGCCAUUUUCAAUGUAAACAUGACACAAUAAUUACACAAUGUUUGGAUCAAUUCACAGAACCCCAGAAAUUCAACCACAUUGUCGGGUCGCACGUCUUUACAGAUAAACCUGUUACUGUGAUGGUGAGUUUGGUGCUGGAGGCCUGAGGCGUCUGCAGAGCUGAGUUACCUGCUGCUGCUGCAGCGGUGACGCUGCUAGAGGUCCUGACUGUCGGCGUUGUUUAAUCCCGCGGCGCCUUAGUAGACGGCCGGAAAGAUUUGUCGUGUUUCCGUAGUUUUUUAUUUGGCUUCUACAUAUUCUACAAACAGCGAGCAACUUAUUUAGAACACCUCCGUGUUUGCAAAAGCCAAAAUGUUUCCACUGGAUCGAUAAGUUGGUUUGUAAAUGUCUCGCUCGCAGUCGUCUCCUCCACGCUGUGUUUUGUUGUUGUUCAGAGUUUCACGCGGCGGCCGCUGCGUACUGAUGACGUCACAGACAGGCAGACUGAAUCCAGUAACGUUUAACGUGUCUAAAGUGCUAAAAACUAACAAGCAAACACAUCCAUACCGUUUUUGUACUUAAAUCCAAUGUGCAGUUUCCAAGUAUCGAUACAAUCGAUUAUGUACCAUUUCAAUUCAUUUGUAAUCGAUAUAUGUCGUCCGGAAUGCCGAUUUGCUGAGCACAGAUCGAUUCAGUUGGAUCGCAGGAAUAUAAAUCGAUUAAUUGAUUCAGUGGAUGAAUCGUUACACUCCUAACACACACAGAAAAAAGGCAGCGGCCAACCAGGUUUAUAAAUACGCUGCAUACUGAUACGCGUUUGGUUGACACCACUGCUUCUAGUUUAUCCCAUGAAUGAACCGUGUUUGUGUGUGUGAGUGCUCCGUAUGCAGCGACGCGCCGCUCCGUCACACUAUCACACAGGUGAACGCUGAUUAGUGGAGUAGUACUAAAAAUACUACUAUUAUUACCAGUAAUAUAAAAAAAGAAAAUAACUGAUAUUACUACUCUCACUACUAGAAAAUGUACUAUUAGUAUUUAUACUGCUAUUACAGCUUUUACCAACUGCUUACACACGUUUUCAAAACUAAGUCUCCUUUUUUCAAAACUCUACACACAAUUCUCAAAACUGCACACACAACAUGCAAAAUGCCUCACAUCUCCUUCAAAAUGCAACACUGCAUUCAAAAUGCCAUAAACACAUGUCAGAAUGAAGCAUUUGCAUCAAAUGGCAAACACUUCUUUCAUAAUAAUAAAUGUUGGGAUGUACCAUGUAACCACUGCUGUUCUAAAUCUAAAGCUCUUGGUCUUUCAUAGGCUCAUAUCUACAUUUCAAUACAACGUUCUACAGUGAGAGUGACGUGCUGAGACGGGUAACAAGUACACCGGAAACCCCAAUGCGAUGUAGAAACAGAAAAUAAUGAUUAGGCCAAACAUUACUGUUGUAUACAUUAGCAUACAACAAAACUAUAAAGUAUAUUGUUCCGUCCCCCAGCUGUGGUGUUUGUUGCUACACGCGUUUGGGUGCAGGCAGUGUCCUGAUUACAGAUGAGCCACACCUGAGCAGAACCUGUGUUGGUGCUACAAAGGCUUCCUGGACCGUUCUGGGGGUUGAAUUCGGUCGAGAUAAAGCAGAUGUUUGAUCGUUGGUGUUCAUCACAGCAGGUUGAUAGUCAGGAGAAAUUGCGUGGACUAAUUCUCUUUAAGAACUGUCUGUCAACCGCUGUGGCAACCUAUUUAGCUGAGCAGAAGGCCGAAUCUAUUUCUGAAGCUGCCAUACUUGCUGACGAACGCAUAACUUUGCCAAAGAACGUUUCCGCUUAAGAGUUAAUCCCUCUACGACCACUGAUGUAGACAUGAAGAAGAAUGCAGUAAAACAACAAGAAGACAGACAUUGUUUUUAUUGGAAAAAGCCUGGACAUGUUGUGGCAGACUCCUUAAUAUUGAAGAGAAAACAGUCCACCAAACCAAUGGGUCUCGUUAGUUCUUCUUCGAAGAAAAGGUCGCCUGUCCUUCAUGCAGAGAUAAGGUCGGAGAAAACAAGGCCUCAAGAGCAAGGCAGUGUUGCAACAAGGCAGAUCUUGGUGAUGGAGCUGAUGUUCAGCUCCCACUUGAGGUCCUGGGUGAUGAUGGAGCCCAGGAAACGGAAGGAAUCCACAAUAGUGACGGGGGAGUCGCACAGGGUGAUGGGGGAGGGUGGGGCUCUGUUCCUCCGGAAAUCAAUUGCCGUCUUUGCGCUUCAGGUGGUCCUCGAUAGACCCACGACGAAGCACGCCGUUCCCUCUCAGAGGGGCAGCUUGUCGCAGCCUUUGGAGGGCGGGAAGUUCGCAGCUCCGACCGAUGGUCGCAAGGCGGCACGCGAUAAGAUAUACAUGUAUAUAUGAAUAUGUCUCAAUAUUAAAGGAUUUGCUUGUUUAAGCUUAGCUACAGAGUAGCCUGCGUAGCGAGAAGAUGAAAUAGGACUGAUCCCAGGAUGAUACCGGUACUUAUACGUGAUGGGAGGUCAUCCGGGGUCACAGGUGACUUUGUUGGUAUAAAGACUCGACCUGCGCAUGCGCGAGACAAGAUAAUCCAGUGUGAAGCACUGCCUCCGGCGGUCAGUAAGGAUAUAGAACUCACCAGCUCAGAUUUAGAAUUUAGGAAGGAAAUUUGGACACAGUUGCAUCACCAGACUAUGGGACAGUUAUUCAGUCCACACUGAAUUCCAUAUCUGCAUUCACUGGUACAAAACAAACGGGAUUAAAAGGCCAACUACAUCAGUUUCACUUAAGUGUACCAAAAGUAUUUAAAAAUAAUGACUGGUAGCUCUUGACUAUAACCUCAUGCUCUAACAUUGUCAUAAUAUUACACUUAGUAAUUAAAGCCCCUCCUUUAGGUUGUGUGUCAGCUGUAUUUUUCUCCAUCUUUUCACAGUGGCCAAACAAAGACACUUGUCUUUUUCUAUUUCUUUCAGUGUUUCCUUUCUUGUUGAGCUAUUGACCUGCUAAAGUCUGAGCAGCUGACCCAGAUUGAUUUUUAGCUCUGUUUUCUUCUGGGCACAACUGGCCACCCUGGGACCAGAGGUCCCAAAAACCCGGAUCAACGCUGGUCCAACCCAAGAGGUCGAGAAACAAGAUGACAGCCGGUCUGUUCUUAAACUGGCCAACACGCGUUCCUGGCACUCCAACUGGGAGGAACCUCCUCAGACGUCACGCCAACUCUAACGUCGCCUAAAGGUAUAACUUCUAUCACACAUUUUAAACAAAGCAAUUUAAGGAUCAGUUAAAUUUUGAAAAAUAAUCUUAGUAAAUGCAUUAAAUAAAUAGAUAGUUUAGGCCCAAAGUACAACUCAGACUUAGAACUUCCUUAUGAACUCCUAGGUCAUCUGCAAUAUCUUUGCUAACUGUUUUAUAAAGUUAGAAUCAAACAUAUUUAUGCUAUUUGGUGAUAGUGGGAAGAGAGAUCCAAAGUCAUUCACAUAACCUGACGACUGAUUUUGAGAUCAGAAGGUACAAACUAUGUACUGGCUUUUUUAUUAAUUCAAUGACAUUACUGUUAACUAACACUCUCCCUACUGAAAGCAGAGACAGGCCCUCGUGCUCCUUCUCCUUAAGCGCUUCAUAAACCCUGUGGAUGAAGCCAACAGACCUCUAAAUGUUAGCCAGAGAAUAUAACUGUGGACACCAACAUACUGUAGUUUAACAUGCUUCAUGUUGCAUGUGAAGUGUCAUGAUAACAAUGUCAAUCUGUGCCUGGAAUGAACCCCAUGAGUUGUUGUUGUUUGACUGCACCCAAUACAAAGCUAUAUGACUGGAUCCGUCCUGACUGUGAUGGAUUAAACGGUGAGCAGGAGGAAAUCUGUAGUCAAACACUGCCCUCACCUGGCCACUUCAUAUCGGUUCAAGGAAACCAACAUGAGCUAAUCUCUGAUUCAAUAAGCAUGAUGAAAAUAUAACUUUAUAGCCAUAUAGAGAAAAUGGUUAUGUUGAACUCCAAUAACCUAGUUAAGAUCAUCUGUGGAAGAACAAGAUGUUCUUUGCCAUUCCCAUCAACAAAGGCCACAUCUUUGCAGGGGUAAGCAGUUUAUCUGUGUUUUGUAUGGUCCCCUUGGCAUGGCAUGCUGUGGGAUGGCCUCAAUGGGUACAUCCAAUAUGAUGAAAGAAUGAACGUGUUGGAUUUAGUUGUAAGCACGUUUGUAGUAAAAACCCUCCCAGAUCUGCGUCUCCAUCAAAUUCUGCCACCUACAUUACAAAGAAAAGGCCAUUCUCUUAUUGACCUUUAUUCUUCUUGGAUCCAAGAUGGCGCCGUUGAUGGCCGCCACGGUGCUUCGGUGCGCUUCGUUUUUUGUUGUUAAUUGCCACUUUAACUGCAAUUCAUCACUUUGUCGUCACUCGUCACUUUGUCACUUGUCCGUUACUUGUUCGUUAGUGCACUUUAUGCUUAAUAUGUUUCUUUUUAACUUUUUUAAUAUUUAAAAUUUUUAACUUUAUUCCCUUGUUUUAUACUAACCCAUAGCCUUAUUCUACUAACAUUCUACUUUAUUUUAUUACUUGUGCACUGUUGUCUUGUCUGUCUACUGUCGCGCACUAACGGCCAAGACAAAUUCCUUGUAUGUUUGGCAAAUAAAUGUUUCCUGAUUCAUGGAUGAGUCACUGAGUAAGGGGGCCUCUGCUGAGAGCCUGAGUGUUUGAAGAAACUGUUAUUGACUAAAGACUUAGUAAGAAGUAUUCCAGUCUGUUCUUUUCGCUUCUGAUCCGAUCUCCUUUCAUACCUGCUUAUCACAAGUGUGAUCCACUUUCCAUUUUAUUGUUUCUGUAUGUGAAGUCUUAAGAUUGUAUAGUAAUAUGAAAACGGUAAUUAUUUAAUGAAUGAUAUUAUGGCCAUGUGUUUAUAUGAUGGAUAAGGCCAUUCUAUAUUGUUUUAAGUGAAUCAAUAAAAACAUAUUAAAGCUGCAAGCAGCGAUGAACGGGCCUUCGCCUCCACUUGCAUGUUGGAGGGGCAGCGGUCAGCCGGACACGCCGCCAAAAAGACAAGAGAAUCAGUGCCUGUGUGGAAUUCGAAGUCUGGCUUCGCAAACAGAAUACUUCACCACUUGGCUACUUGUCUAGCUGUACAAAGACCUGCAAAAGGUAAAUAAAUAUGUAGGAUCACCUCCAUUCAGUUGAGGCAAAGAACGUGAGCUAAUUUUAAAAAGUUUGGCAGACAUGUUUUGGGAACUGAACACAUCACAGCAGUAUAGGGUUAUUAUUGUCAUUAUUUACAAUAAAUCAUCCCUGGCUAAAUAAUGACAAUAAUAAAGCUGCACUGCUGUGAUGUUGCUGCUCUUCCUCUUCUCCUUUUACAAAUUAUUAGUAUUGUCUCUUUUGGAAGGUUAUUCUUUUGUUUCAGUUUUAGUUUAUUUAAUUUAAUUUAAUAUUUCUAUCUUAUUAUAUUGUAUAUAAUGUGUAUCUUUUUAUUCUAUUUUCUUCCCUGUACAUGCUUCUGUGAUACCAAAAUGUCCCUCUUGAGGGAUCAAUAAAGCAUCUAUCUAUCUCUACAUUGAACGUGUCUCUGAAGAACACCUGUAUUUUAACACGUCCACUCAUGUCGGUUACAGCCAACUUGAUUAAGUAUUCUCAAGCCUACUCUGCUGAUAGGGAAGAGACAUCUUUACAGCUGGAUCCAAGCUGAUGCCUCCAGGUGAGUGCACCUAAAUCCCAGCAGUAUCUGGGGCUGCUUUAUGAAUACGUGUAGGGGAAGCUAUUGAGCCAAAAUGCCAUUUGGAAGAAUUGAAAUCAUAUGAAGUAACUACAUCUAUAACUGUAAAUGUGUUUUCAAAUUUGAUAAAGAUUGGAGCAUAUUUAUUCCCUCAAAAGCACCUUAAUUUUUAAAAAGUGAAUAACCAGUUGUCAUGGCAACAGCGUAACACAAAAGCAAAAAGGUUUUUUAUAACUUAAUCACCUUGGGACCGUUUUGUCCGAAUUUAAAGGGGCUGUGACAAAGUCCCAGGGAGGAGUUCCUCAAAGUAUAGCGACUAGAAAGUGUAUAAAAUAGAGGGAAUAUUGACACAAAAAAAAUUCUAACUGACUUCCUGUUCAUUUUAGAGGAUGGUCCCAAGAGACUUUAUUUUCUAUUAAGUCUCUAUUAAGUUUUUUUUUUUUAUUACGUCUCCCUCUUUUACAUAUAUGUCCAAAAACCGUCAUACAUCCAGGUCAAACAGGUUUGUUGAAAACUGCCAGGGGGCGCUAUGGAGGCAAUUUGCCACUUUUGAGCCAAAACUCCACAUCAGCUAUGUAAUGUUAGUACCUUGGACACUGACAUAACUUUUCAAGCGUUUUUGAGUUUGCCAAGGCACCAAAAUAUCUCCUUGAACUUUCAUGCGAAGACAGUGUCGUCCCAAUAUCCACUGAGAACUAUCAUUCAAGGAUUUGAGGUAGAUCAGAUGAAAUGGCUAGGAGAUACACAUUAAAGUGUAAAACAUUUGCAUUUAGCUAAGCCAAUAGGUGGCGCUAUCAUUUUUUGAAAAUCACUGCAUGGGAAUACUUUAAGGCGUACAAUAGCAUACUGAGUUAGAAAUUUCGGCCAGAAAUAAAAACGUUCCUUGGAGUUAUGACAUCUUAUGUUUUCAAGAAACCAAAAUAGAUGGCAGGCCACGCUCAGGUAGUUUCACGAAAGCUCUUGAUUUGAAUAACUUUACCCCACACGGUUGUCAGGAUCAAUUUGCCCGAACAUGAAGUGGGUCGGGUUUAAACUCUCAGAACUCUCUCCGCAAUUUUGAGACCGCUUUGACAGAUGAGCAUCGGGGUCCUUCAAAGAGCUCACAUUUUCCAAGAUGGAAAUUGUGUUGCUUCAGUUCGUCUCUGCGAGCGAUUAAGUUAGCUUAUGCUAUCAUUUGUUAACCUGAGAUCCAAGCAACCUGAUUGGCUUAUCCAACUCCUGCCUGAGGUGCUCCGGCUGCGAUAUUGCACUACAUGUGAAACUCUAAACUUUUCAUUAUAACUUUCUCAAAGUAAGUGCGAACGAGGUUUUGCGGAGAAUUGGAACCCGCACAAAAGCAUGCUGGAAGGUGUGCCAACAACCUCUUGAAAGUGGAUUCGAUGAGUUAAGUUUAACAAUUCCUUUUACAAAAAUGCAUCGUAUGAGUUCUGAAAUGGUUCAAAACUAAGGAAAUCAAUAAAAAAAAUUACUCUUUGCAAAGUGUUGUAUUUUAUUGAGCUCUGAGAAGAGCAGACGUUGAACAUAGAGGAGGAAGCAUAUGUGAUGCAUCAUCUCUGAUGAUCUUGUAGUCAGCUGCUGGUAGAUCAGGAAGUCUGUGGAAACCACAAAUAAAAUGUGUGAAUAUCUCAUACAAACUAAAUCUCAGAAAACUAACAUUUUCUGUAGAGAAUUGUACUUAAGUCAUCAAUAUGGAUAUGCUUAUUUACAAAGUUUGUUUAAAAUGUAUGUAUGUUUAAAAUGCAGGUUUCACCUCUGCUUCUUCUUGAUGUAACGUGCUUUAUGGAUGACACGCAAGCAUCUAAGGGUGAGGCAGCGAUGCAUGUCGGUGAAGAAGGCUGAGGGCAACAUGUGGAACAAGUUGGCUGGGAGUGAAAGCUGUUUCUCAGAAUUCACUGGUGGAGGCUGGUGGAAGUUGAAGGCAGAGGAUGUAGAUGGACGUUCGGGUUGCAGGCGCCUACUAGAAUUGUCAAGUGGAGGUGGAGUUUCAGGUCAACGGCGGGGACCAGAGAUGAAGAUUCAGGAAGCCUGCUAGUAUGGAGUAGACUGAAGGCUGGAGGCUGGACCAAGAAGGAGAUUGAGCAGGUUUCAAGAGCUGUCUUCCAGGAUGACAGGUGGAGGCCAGGGGUGGAGGUGGCUGUGGAGGGCUGAAGGAUUUUAGUUGCUAAAGGAGGCUGUAGAAAGAGGUGUGAACUGCAGCUGGCUGCCACAAACAGCAGGUAGAGGAGACACCUGCAGGAGGAGGCUCCUGCAGUUGACUGGCAAAUACUGGAGGUGGAUAUUGGGCCAGCUCUUUCUGCCAAACACUACAGAUGGAGGAAGCCCCUGUAGUAUACUGGCAGAGGCUGUAGGUGGACGUUUGGCCUCUCAGUGGGUGUUUGCCAGUAAAAUGCAGGCGUAGGAGGCUCCAGUAGUUUACUGGCAGAUGUAGGUGGAGGCUUGGCCAGCAGCUGCCUGCCAAACGCUACAGAGGUUUGGUCUGCAGCAGUCUGCCAGAAUAUACAGAAGGGGGGCACACCUGCAGUAUAUUGGCAUGGGCUCCAGGUGGAGGUUUGGACUGAAGCAGUCUGCAAGUAAAAUACAGGUGGAGGAGACACCUGCAGUCUACUGCUAGAGGCUUCAGGCUUUAGGUACACACAUUUCAACUGCAAUGAACUGCAGGAGGAGGCUCCUGCAGUUCACUGGCAAAUACUGGAGGUGGAUAUUGGGCCAGCUCUUUCUGCCAAACACUACAGAUGGAGGAAGCCCCUGUAGUAUACUGGCAGAGGCUGUAGGUGGACGUUUGGCCUCUCAGUGUCUGCCAGUAAAAUGCAGGCGGAGGAGGCUCCCGCAGUUUACUGGCAGAGGUUGUAGGUGGAGGUUUGGCCUGCAGACAAAAAGAAGGUGGGCCCUGCAGUUUGCUGGCAGAGGCUGUGGAUUGUAGAUGUUAAGCCGAAUUUUAAAGUGGAGGUGAUUUUCAAGUCAACGGAACGGACCAGAGAUGGGGGUUCAGGAGGCUUGCUUGUCUUUAGAAGGCUGGACACCUCCUUUACUGGCAGGGUGAAGGAUCAGGCCUGGAGUUGGACCAAGCUGAAUUGACAGGUGCAGAUCAGGGAUGGAGGCUGUUAUGGAGUGCCGGCGGAUGAAAGUUGUUGAAAGUGGCCAGGGGAUUUGGUAUGUAAGUCGGCCUGUACAGUGCAGACGGAGGAUGCACCUAAGUUUCGUGGCAGAGGGUGUUGGUGGAGGCUUGGCCUGUAGCUGUCGACCAGUAAAAUGCAGUGGAGGCGGCAUCUGUGGUUUACUGGCAGAGGGUGUGGGUGGAGGUUCUGAAUAAUAUUGUCUGCAACAAUCUGCAGGUGGAGGCAGCACCUGCAGUUUAAUGCCGCAAGCUGUCAGUGGAGGUUUGAGUUUGCAGGUGGAACUGGAUACUUCUGGUAGAGCAUAUUAAAGCAGCUGUCUGCUGCCUGCUAGCGGAGGCUAGGACAGCAGAUGGCUGACAUAAUAUGAAAGUAAGAUUAAGUGCUUUUAAGUGAAAGAAGGUGCUUUGAACAGACCUUUGUUGAGGAUUGCACAGGCACUUCAGAUGCAGUAAGUGGAGAUAAUCGUGUUCCUGUCUUACAGAAUUGGAAGGUUGGAGCAUUAAUACAGAAAUACUAUCAAAUCAAAAAUAUACAACUAAAUACAACUUAAUACAGCUUAAUACAACUUAAUUAUUACAACAUGUAAAUUAUUUUAAUUUAAGUAAGUGAUUUCAAACUCAGAUAAAGUCCUUUCAAAAGAAUAAACAUUCUUAUUUGGAUCAUAGUGUUGAAUAUUACCUGGAGCUUCAGUGUUUCUGUUGCACCACCCAGCUGUCAAACUGGUCCCGCCACUCUAGAUAAAGCCUCAUGUCUAC